rnacentral:lncRNA from 1 species
UUGAAGACAAAUAAAGCCCAUAUAUCAAACACACUAAAACUAAGGCCAUACAACGACAGAUAAAACCCGAACUGAAACCUAUUGUCAGAAUCCUAUACCCGUUACAAGUGACCCAAUCCAGAUUCGGUUGCCUUAAAGCAUCGUUGCAGCUCCUCCCUUGAAACCGACGACAACCAAGGAAAGCAGAACCCAUACAGGCGAGGAUAGCUCCAGAUGGUAGUCUUUUUAGACCGUCAUAAAGCAAACUAAAGUAUAGGAAGACCCAACUCCUCUCAAACGGACCACCGCAUCAAGGAAGGAGCACCGAAGGAAAAACCCAGAACCAUUGCAUGCAACCAUAGGUCGAAGAGGGGAAGCAGAUGAACCGCCACAACAACAAUGAUAAGCCAGACAAUCUCCUUCCAGAGGUCGAAGAAUGCUUCAAACUCGGAUUUGAAGGUACCGGCUGAGAUGGUAGUGAUGCAUCGUUCGAGGCUCUUCCUCUAAAACUGCCUUCCACUGGAAAGAGAGAGACAAGUAGAGAAUGAGAUCGAGAAGCCUCCAACCUGCAACCAGAACAAAGAAAAACAUACAUGCAAAGAGCAUAUCAAAAAACGCAUCCAAAGAAACCCUCCAUUAAAGCACCACCACAACAGCUAACAAAACACCAAAAAAAUAUGUACACUCCACUGAGCAGGAAGAGAGUAUAUGGCCCACAUUCGAACAGAGGGAGGUCUCACUCCGCCUCGAGAAGCAAAGAAAGACCUCCAACUGAGGCAGAGAAACCGGCAAACUCCUGAACAGAAAGAGGCUGAACCUCAAAAGGAAAAAAGAACCUCUCUCUUGGAGAGAGGAAAAAGUGGGUUGCAUCAUUGUUCAGACAUCUCUUAACACACAAGUAUCAACUGAAGCCACACCUCCAUCGGAUAUAUCACGACCAGAGAGCUAUAUUUCAUUGAACAUCACCUUGCAGCUGAGCUUCCUCCAUAUGUUGAUCAAC